CGGGUGAGUAAUGUCUGGGAAACUGCCCGAUGGAGGGGGGUAACUACUGGAAACGGUAGCUAAUACCGCAUAACGUCGCAAGACCAAAGAGGGGGACCUUAGGGCCUCUUGCCAUCGGAUGUGCCCAGAUGGGAUUAGCUAGUAGGUGGGGUAAUGGCUCACCUAGGCGACGAUCCCUAGCUGGUCUGAGAGGAUGAUCAGCCACACUGGGACUGAGACACGGCCCAG
rnacentral:rRNA from 1 species